rnacentral:rRNA from 1 species
ACAGCUCAGUAACACGUGGACAACCUGCCCUUAGGACGGGGAUAAACCCGGGAAACUGGGUAUAAUACCCGAUAGGUCUCGAUUGCUGGAAUGCAUCGAGAUUUAAAGCUCCGGCGCCUAAGGAUGGGUCUGCGGCCUAUCAGGUAGUAGUGGGUGUAGCGUACCUACUAGCCUACGACGGGUACGGGUUGUGAGAGCAAGAGCCCGGAGAUGGAUUCUGAGACACGAAUCCAGGCCCUACGGGGUGCAGCAGGCGCGAAAACUUUACAAUGCUGGCAACAGCGAUAAGGGAACCUCGAGUGCCAGGUUACAAAUCUGGCUGUCGAGAUGCCUAAAAAGCAUUCCAUAGCAAGGGCCGGGCAAGACCGGUGCCAGCCGCCGCGGUAACACCGGCGGCUCGAGUGGUAACCGUUAUUAUUGGGUCUAAAGGGUCUGUAGCCGGCCGGAUAAGUCUCUUGAGAAAUCUGGCAGCUUAACUGUCAGGCUUUCAGGAGAUACUGUCUGGCUCGAGGCCGGGAGAGGUGAGAGGUACUUCAGGGGUAGGGGUGAAAUCUUGUAAUCCUUGAAGGACCACCAGUGGCGAAGGCGUCUCACCAGAACGGACCUGACGGCAAGGGACGAAAGCUAGGGGCACGAACCGGAUUAGAUACCCGGGUAGUCCUAGCCGUAAACGAUACUCGCUAGGUGUCGGCCACGGUGCGACCGUUGUCGGUGCCGUAGGGAAGCCGUGAAGCGAGCCACCUGGGAAGUACGGCCGCAAGGCUGAAACUUAAAGGAAUUGGCGGGGGAGCAC